AACGAACGCUGGCGGCAUGCCUAACACAUGCAAGUCGAACGGGAUCCAGGCUUCGGCCUGGUGAGAGUGGCGGACGGGUGAGUAACGCGUGGGAACCUGCCCAAUGGUGUGGGAUAACCGCGGGAAACCUCGGCUAAUACCGCAUAAGCCGGCUGUCUUGAGAGAGAUGGUCGGGAAAGAUUUAUCGCGAGAGGAGGGGCCCGCGUCGGAUUAGCUUGUUGGUGGGGUAACGGCCUACCAAGGCGAUGAUCCGUAGCUGGUCUGAGAGGAUGAUCAGCCACACUGGGACUGAGACACGGCCCAGACUCCUACGGGAGGCAGCAGUGGGGAAUAUUGGACAAUGGGCGCAAGCCUGAUCCAGCAAUGCCGCGUGAGUGAGGAAGGCCUUAGGGUUGUAAAGCUCUUUCACCCGCGACGAUGAUGACGGUAGCGGGAGAAGAAGCCCCGG
rnacentral:rRNA from 1 species